UCAACAUGUGUUGUACUGAUGUUUUCCAGUGCCUUGGUGAUUCAUACAACUUUCUGGGAUCUUUUGAUUAACGGAGAAAAAGUCGUAAGAUCAGCAAGAAGAGAAACUAGAUUUUUGCCUCAACUCAACAUGUUAAGUAAUCACCUGACAUCUGCAUAAGACCACCUCUUGGCACCUGGCUACACAAGCUGAAAUGGGAAAACUCCUUGAGAAACCACACAAGAAUGGAACACUUGCUUAGAGACAUGAGAGUAGCCUAGAAUCUAAGAAUCUGUGCUUCCUUCUACAGUUGUCUUUGGAAGAAGAAUAGACAUUCAUGGCAGACCAAAGAUCACUCUCUGAAGGUGUUGUAUGAGAAAUCCACAUAGGAGCAACCCAAGAAAACCAUGCAGGUCAAUACUAGCCUGGAAAGACAGAAGGAAAACAUGCCAAGUGGAGCUCACCAGAAGGACAGCAGUCAGAGUUCAAGAGCCCAGCUUUAAAAGGCAUGUGUUCACUGAUGUGCUUUAAAAUCUGUAAUAAACAGUAGUAUACUCUGGUAGUGAGGAAGAAUUGAGGCACUUGGAGAACUGGAAGACUAUUUGAAGACGAUGAUGAUACCUACUGAUCAUGUGAGUCAAGACAUUGGAGUCUUGUCUACAGAUUAUAUGAAUGGCCUCCAAUGGUGAAGAUUUGAAUUUAAGGU